AGUACCCCGGAACGUGUCUGGUCGUUUGUUUUGACCGAACACCUUUACAAUGGGAUCCCGCGCUCCGCUUAUGGCCGUCAUGCCUCGCAAGGUCAGUGGACUUCGAAAGUAAGCGGGAGGGAACCCACCUGCAUUGCGCAGGUUUCAAAACCGCGGCCCAUGUCCGGGGCUGUA
rnacentral:other from 1 species